rnacentral:rRNA from 1 species
UCGAGAAUUUUUCUCAAUGGGGGAAACCCUGAAGGAGCGACGCCGCGUGGAGGAUGAAGGUCUUCGGAUUGUAAACUCCUGUCAUUCGAGAACAAGGCCUGCCGGGUCACUCCGCGCAGGAUUGAUAGUAUCGGAAGAGGAAGGGACGGCUAACUCUGUGCCAGCAGCCGCGGUAAUACAGAGGUCCCGAGCGUUGUUCGGAUUCAUUGGGCGUAAAGGGUGCGUAGGUGGCAUGGCAAGUCGGGUGUGAAAUCCCGGGGCUCAACCCCGGAACUGCACUCGAUACUGCCGUGCUGGAGUACUGGAGAGGAGACUGGAAUUUACGGUGUAGCAGUGAAAUGCGUAGAUAUCGUAAGGAAGACCGGUGGCGAAAGCUAGUCUCUGGACAGUUACUGACGCUGAGGCACGAAGGCCAGGGGAGCAAACGGGAUUAGAUACCCCGGUAGUCC